rnacentral:rRNA from 1 species
UACGGAGGUCCCAAGCGUUGUUCGGAUUCAUUGGGCGUAAAGGGUGCGUAGGCGGCGCGGUAAGUCGGGUGUGAAAUCUCGGAGCUUAACUCCGAAACUGCAUUCGAUACUGCCGUGCUUGAGGACUGGAGAGGAGACUGGAAUUUACGGUGUAGCGGUGAAAUGCGUAGAUAUCGUAAGGAAGUCCAGUGGCGAAGGCAAUCCCCUGGACCUGUACUGACGCUGAGGAGCGAAAGCGUGGGGAGCGAACAGG